AGUGAACGCUGGCGGUAGGCCUAACACAUGCAAGUCGAACGGCAGCACAGUAAGAGCUUGCUCUUACGGGUGGCGAGUGGCGGGCGGGUGAGGAAUACAUCGGAAUCUACUUUUUCGUGGGGGAUAACGUAGGGAAACUUACGCUAAUACCGCAUACGACCUACGGGUGAAAGCAGGGGAUCUUCGGACCUUGCGCGAUUGAAUGAGCCGAUGUCGGAUUAGCUAGUUGGCGGGGUAAAGGCCCACCAAGGCGACGAUCCGUAGCUGGUCUGAGAGGAUGAUCAGCCACACUGGAACUGAGACACGGUCCAGACUCCUACGGGAGGCAGCAGUGGGGAAUAUUGGACAAUGGGCGCAAGCCUGAUCCAGCCAUACCGCGUGGGUGAAGAAGGCCUUCGGGUUGUAAAGCCCUUUUGUUGGGAAAGAAAAGCAGCAGGUUAAUACCCCGCUGUUCCGACGGUACCCAAAGAAUAAGCACCGGCUAACUUCGUG
rnacentral:rRNA from 1 species